rnacentral:rRNA from 1 species
AUUGAACGCUGGCGGCAGGCCUAACACAUGCAAGUCGAACGGUAACACGAAGAAGCUUGCUUCCUUGCUGACGAGUGGCGCACGGGAGAGUAACGUCUGGGAAACAGCCUUAUGGAGGGGGUUAACUACUGAAAACGGUAGCUAAUACCGCAUAACGUCGCAAGACCAAAGAUGGGGACCUUCUGGCCUUUUGCCAUCGGAUGUGCUCAGAUUGGAUUAGCUAGUAGGUGGGGGAACGGCUCACCUAGGCGACGAUCCCUAGCUGGUCUGAGAGGGUGACCAGCCACACUGGAACUGAGACACGGUCCAGACUCCUACGGGAGGCAGCAGUGGGGAAUAUUGCGCAAUGGGCGAAAGCCUGAUGCAGCAAUGCCGCGUGAAUGAUGAAGGCCUUCGGGUUGUAAAGUGCUGUCAGCGGGGAGGAAGGAAGGAAAGUUAAUACCUGUGCUUAUUGACGUUACCCGAAGAAGAAGCACCGGCUAACUCCGUG